AACGAACGCUGGCGGCAUGCCUAACACAUGCAAGUCGAACGAGACCUUCGGGUCUAGUGUCGCACGGGUGCGUAACGCGUGGGAACCUGCCCUUAGGUUCGGAAUAACUCCCCGAAAGGGGUGCUAAUACCGGAUAAUGUCUUCGGACCAAAGAUUUAUCGCCUUUGGAUGGGCCCGCGUUGGAUUAGCUAGUUGGUAGGGUAAAAGCCUACCAAGGCGACGAUCCAUAGCUGGUCUGAGAGGAUGAUCAGCCACACUGGGACUGAGACACGGCCCAGACUCCUACGGGAGGCAGCAGUGGGGAAUAUUGGACAAUGGGCGACAGCCUGAUCCAGCAAUGCCGCGUGAGUGAUGAAGGCCUUAGGGUUGUAAAGCUCUUUUACCCGGGAUGAUAAUGACAGUACCGGGAGAAUAAGCUCCGGCUAACUCCGUG
rnacentral:rRNA from 1 species